rnacentral:lncRNA from 1 species
GUGUGACUGUGAGCUUACACUGAGCAGGGCUUGUGGUCUGGAUUAUGGGAUGGUUCCUCCUGUUUUUGAAUUUGCUUCAGCCAGAAACCUCAAGUGCAAUCAUUGGGCUAAGGCCAAUGUUGGGAUGCAUUUUUUUCUGAACCAUGUAUUUAAUGAAGAUGAGGCCCUCGAAAAUGAGGCCUUCAAGGGGCUUCAUGAGGAGGUGCCAGUUUUUACCUGUCGGCCCAAGGCCUACAUAUCCUUCUCCUCACCCCACUCCAGGUAGGCCCAUCAUUCUAUCUUAGCUCUAUAUUUAAAGUUAUGUUUAUUAGGUCCUAAAAAUUAGAAACUUCAUUUUAUAGCUGUCAGGGAAUGAAGGCCUCCUUGUGACUUCUAAGUUUCUUGCCUUAUUUUUUAAUUUCAUUCCUUUUUAAAAUUUUUAUUUUUUGAGACGGAGUUUCACUCUUGUUGCCCAGGCUGGAGUGCAAUGGCAUGAUCUUGGCUCAUUGUAACCUCCACCUCCUGGGUUCAAGCGGUUCUCCUGCCCAGCCUCCCAAGUAGCUGGGACCACAGGCGCCUGCCACCACACCUGGCUAAUUUUUCGUAUUUUUAGUAGAGA